GGGUGUGUAGCUCAGUUGGUAGAGCAUCGGGCUUUUAACCUGAUGGCCGUAGGUUCGAGCCCUGCCAUACCCA